UGGGCGCCCGCGCCCUCCCUGGCCCCGGCGCACCGGCUCCUCCUCCGGGUUUUAGAGCCUCCCUCGCCCUCGGGAGCCUCUGAGGACCCGGCUUCCCGCCACUUCGGACCUCGCGAGGAGGGGGUCACCUUUUUUAGGUUGGGGGCACCGGAGCAACCGCCCCAGAACACCCUGGAAGAGAGGGUCUUGCACCUCCGCCCGCCCCUCCGCUGUGCGCGCACACACCACACAACGCCCCGAACCAGCAUGGAAACACCACCGCCACGACACCCGGUUAAGAAGACGCCCCCCCCCCCUUUCCGCAACAUCCCCGACGGGCCGUCGAGCAAGUCCGGGCCGGGCAAGAGGCCCCGAAAACCGGGCACAGGCUUCAGAGAAACGUGUCGUGGGUUCUCGAGCCCCUCUGCCCCCGCAGGCCGUGGCCCGCAGCGCCUGAAAGCCUGCGCUUCUCGAAAAAUAACUACACACGUGCUGUAACUACUAUACAGCUUCAACCAGCUCAGUUUUCAAAGGAAGCAGGAAAGAGAUGGAAUGAUACCAACAUUUCUUUCACUGAGGACAAGUCAUACAUCCUCGAAGAAGCAGAUUUUUAAAUCCUCUACUACUGUAAUUCAUGAGAAAAGAUGCUAAAUGUAAGUGUAUAUAAAUCGAGAAGCAGAAAUUUACUGACCCAGGCGGCAAACUAAAUAAGUCUGAAUGGGAAACAUCGGAGAGGUAGCCCUGCCUUCUCAACUCCUGACUUAUAAAUGACCUAUAUAAACAAAUACACAAAGGCCUUGUUUUUUAUUACCUGUAAGUCCACCAGAGAUUUGUGGGAUCCGGCUCUUAAAGACUUAAAUAGCUCUAAGAGUCAUUCGCACGUAAGGAUUAACUACUUCAAUCAGUUUGCUUUUUUUUUUUUUUUUUUUUCUAACACGGAUCAGUCAGUAGCACCUCAAGAAGGGGAAGCUUUGGGCAAAUCAGGAUUCAAGAAACAAUGAGCACCUUGCAGCAGGGCCGAAGGCCUUGAGGCCAGAGGUUUUGGGGAGAGGAGCUUAAGCAAAAGCAUAGAAAGGGAAAACAAGAUGGAAGUAUUUAAAAACCGUACCUGUCCAGCUUCAGAUUUUGCAUAUUGAGAAGUCCUAGGCUGCUUACUUUGGGGACCCAUAAGCCUGAAAAUACCGUGGUAAGGUAG
rnacentral:lncRNA from 1 species